UCGGGAAUUUUGGGCAAUGGGCGAAAGCCUGACCCAGCAACGCCGCGUGAAGGAUGAAGUAUUUCGGUAUGUAAACUUCGAAAGAAUGGGAAGAAUCAAUGACGGUACCAUUUAUAAGGUCCGGCUAACUACGUGCCAGCAGCCGCGGUAAUACGUAGGGACCAAGCGUUGUUCGGAUUUACUGGGCGUAAAGGGCGCGUAGGCGGCUAUGCAAGACAGGUGUGAAAUCCCCGGGCUUAACCUGGGAACUGCACUUGUGACUGCAUAGCUGGAGUACGGCAGAGGGGGAUGGAAUUCCGCGUGUAGCAGUGAAAUGCGUAGAUAUGCGGAGGAACACCGAUGGCGAAGGCAGUCCCCUGGGCCUGUACUGACGCUCAUGCACGAAAGCGUGGGGAGCAAACAGGAUUAGAUACCCAAGUAG
rnacentral:rRNA from 1 species